rnacentral:rRNA from 1 species
CCUACGGUGGGCUGCAGUGAGGAAUAUUGGUCAAUGGGCGUAACCCUGAACCAGCCAAGUCGCGUGAGGGAUGACGGUCCUAUGGAUCGUAAACCUCUUUUAUAAGGGAAUAAACUGCGUGACGUGUCCCGUAUUGUAGGUACCUCAUGAAUAAGGACCGGCUAAUUCCGUGCCAGCAGCAGCGGUAAUACGGAGGUUCCGAGCGUUAUCCGGAUUUAUUGGGUUUAAAGGGUGCGAAGGCCGCCUCUUAAGUGAGCGGUGAAAGUCUGUGGCUCAACCGUGGCAAUGCAGUUGAAACUGGGAGGCUUGAGUGUGUAUGAGGCAGGCGGAAUGCGUGGUGUAGCGGUGAAAUGCUUAGAUAUCACGAAGAACCCCGAUUGCGAAGGCAGCCUGCCAUGGCGUGACUGACGCUGAUGCACGAAGGCGUGGGGAUCGAACAGGAUUAGAUACCCUGGUAAUC